rnacentral:rRNA from 1 species
GCGCACCAGGCGCGAAAACUUUACAAUGUGCGAAAGCACGAUAAGGGAACUCUGAGUGCCUCCUAAGGAGGCUGUUCAGGUGUCUAAAAAGCACCUGGAGUAAGGGCUGGGUAAGACCGGUGCCAGCCGCCGCGGUAACACCGGCAGCCCAGGUGGUAGCCACUUUUAUUGGGUCUAAAGCGUCCGUAGCCGGUUGAGUAAGUUCCUUGGGAAAUUUGGCUGCUCAACAGUCAAGCUUCCAGGGAAUACUGCUCGACUUGGGGACUGGGAGAGGUCAGAGGUACUCCAGGGGUAGGGGUGAAAUCCAUUAAUCCCUGGGGGACCACCGGUAGCGAAGGCGUCUGACCAGACCAGGUCCGACGGUGAGGGACGAAGGCUAGGGUCGCGAACCGGAUUAGAUACCCCUGUAGU